UACGUAGGGUGCAAGCGUUGUCCGGAAUUAUUGGGCGUAAAGGGCUCGUAGGCGGCCAACUAAGUCAGACGUGAAAUCCCUCGGCUUAACCGGGGAACUGCGUCUGAUACUGGAUGGCUAGAGGUUGGGAGAGGGAUGCGGAAUUCCAGGUGUAGCGGUGAAAUGCGUAGAUAUCUGGAGGAACACCGGUGGCGAAGGCGGCAUCCUGGACCAAUUCUGACGCUGAGGAGCGAAAGCCAGGGGAGCAAACGGG
rnacentral:rRNA from 1 species